AACGAACGCUGGCGGCAUGCCUAACACAUGCAAGUCGAACGGGCACCUUCGGGUGUCAGUGGCAGACGGGUGAGUAACACGUGGGAACGUGCCCUUCAGUUCGGAACAACCCAGGGAAACUUGGGCUAAUGCCGGAUACGUCCGUAAGGAGAAAGAUUUAUUGCUGAAGGAUCGGCCCGCGUCUGAUUAGCUAGUUGGUGGGGUAAUGGCCCACCAAGGCGACGAUCAGUAGCUGGUCUGAGAGGAUGAUCAGCCAGACUGGGACUGAGACACGGCCCAGACUCCUACGGGAGGCAGCAGUGGGGAAUAUUGGACAAUGGGCGAAAGCCUGAUCCAGCCAUGCCGCGUGAGUGAUGAAGGCCCUAGGGUUGUAAAGCUCUUUCGGCGGGGACGAUAAUGACGGUACCCGCAGAAGAAGCCCCGGCUAACUUCGUGCCAGCAGCCGCCGUAAAAC
rnacentral:rRNA from 1 species